CAGUCCAGUUGGCUGUGCCAACGUGAGCCGCCAGGUCCCUUCUCAACUGGGCAUUCCAGUCGAAAACCAGACGUCUGGCAACCCUAGCUCCUGCAUGGUGCAGCCCACAGCUGGAAGGUGGAUGUGACCAGGGAGGGGAGACCCAGUAUGUGGGGGUACUGCUGGGGCAGAACCCCAAAGUAAAGGGGCACUGUGGUCCAUAGGCAGGUGAAACACUGCCAGCAGAGAGCGCUUCAGAGCUGGAGUUCAGCUAAUUUUCAAGAUGACCAGCAGGAGGCGCUGCACCCAUAAGUCCUGACCUCGCUACAGUGCUACACACAGCAUCACUCUUGCAUUCCUAAAGACCUACUUUCUGUCUAUCCUCCAUGCUGCUCUCCAGCUCACUUUUCCUGCCUCUGCACUUCCUGAUACAGGCAGGCUGUGUCCACAGUGCUGUGCUACUGUGGCCCUCUAGAUCACCAUUGCAAAAGUGAGGUAAUAGUGGAUGUGGAGGUGGAUGGUGGAUGUGACCUGCAGGCUACAAGGCGAACUACAGGGCAGACUCAAGCAGGGAUCAGAUUCAAAAGCCUCCUGAGUUUAUUCCUGCCAUUCUCCCCCCACCCCCGGGGUCAGGAAAGGGGUUUCCUGCACUAGUCCACUAGUCUCAUUAGGCACCUCAAGCAUCGACUUGGGUUGCCAACCCUCCAGGAUUGGCCUGGAAUCUCCAGGAAUUAAUAAUUAUGCCAUGUGAUGAAAUCUCCAGGAAUAUAUCCAACCAAAAUUUGCAACCCUGAGCCUUGCCAAGUGAGUACAGCCCACCCAGUACUCUCUUUAUAAUAAACCACAGGAAGAGUCCUAGGACGGAAAAAAACCCUAUGGUCCUCUGCCCUUUCCUCCAGUAGUCUCUUGCAGUGGGCAGCCCCUGCAGAAAGGUCAUCUUUCUCCAUAGCCAGCCUGCUUUUUAAGUGGCCCAUUCAUUACCUGUCAGCUCAUCAACCCUUGCUGGCUCAGGCCCUGUCUACACUGGUAAGUUUUUGCACAAUAAAGCAGCUUUCUGUGCUAUAACUUCUGAGGUCUACACAUUGCCAAGCCACUUAGUGCGCAGAAACUGAACAGUUGCAGCGCUGUAAAAAAACCCACCCCAAUGAGAGGCGUACGGCUUUUACCGCGCCGCGGUGCCAAUGUAGACACCCUGGUCAAUUACAGCGCUGUGAUUGGCCUCUGGGAGGUGUCCCACAAUGCCUGUUCUUGCCUCUCUGUUCAUCGGUUUGAACUCUACUGCCCUGCCCUCAGGUGACCAACCGUCAUCCCCACCCCAUAAAUUCCUUUGGAAUUUUGAAAGUCCCCUUCCUGUUUGUUCGGUGAUGCAUGCGGUGGUCUCAACGCAUCUUUCCAGGUGGCCAUGCCUGCUCCAUGCACCAGGCGAUCCCCGCUUGGAGCAACGCCGAGUUGCUGGACCUCAUCGGCAUUUUGGGAGAGGAGGCUGUCUAGUCCUAGCUGUGCUCCAGCCAUAGGAAUUAUGAUACCUACGGACGGAUUUCAUGAUGCAUGACAGAAAGGGGCCAUGAGCGGGACACAGUGCAGUGCAGGGUCAAAGUGAAAGAGCUGUGGAAUGCCUGCCACAAGGCACACGAGGCAAAUUGCCGCUCUGAUGAUGCGCCCAUGAGCUGCUGGUUCUACAAAGAGCUGGACGCGAUACUCGGUGGUGACCCCACCUCCACGCUGAAGGCCAUUGUGGAUACUUCGGCUGCUUGCAUGCCAGUAGAGAGUGGACUGAGCCAGGAGGAGGAAAUCUUGGACUAGGAUGGGGAGGGGGAGGGGGACCCAGAGGCAGAGGAUGACUUGGAGGUCAGAGAUGCAUGCAGCCAGGAGCUCUUUUCUAUCCUGGAGGAAGCUAGCCAGUCACAGCUGUCGGAUCUUGGUGAAGCGCAAACAGGAGAGGAGGCCCCUGGAAUCUGCGUCAGAGAUCUCCAGGAAACUCUCAUGGAGAUACUGGGCAAUCCACUGCCGUGGAUUCUUUGGCAGAGCGGCUUUGUUUCUUGCCCCAUUAACGAGAUGACCUUGGGAGCCCAGCCUCCCUCUUUGUUAUCGCUAGCUGAAUGGCUGCGCAGAAUUAGAAAGCGGCCAUGAAGAACUAAGGAGGACUUUCUGCGUGAGGUUAUCAAACACUCAGUGUCCGAAGAACAGGAAUUGAAGGAGUGGCGGGACAGCCAGAAGAGAGACCGAAAGGAGAACGCAGCACGCCAAAAUGAAGCCACAGAGCGGCUCUUAAAUGUUAUGGAGCGCCAAGCAGAUACACUCCAGGUGAUACUAGAACUGCAAACUGAGCAACUCUGUGCCCACCCUCCCCUGCAGCCACUGUCACAAAACUCUUUGUCGCAGCGCCCCCCGGCCCCCCUCCCCCCGACACUGCCAACACACUCUGAUCAAUCUCCUGGCUCCCCUCUGUACUCACAGCAUUCCACUCCUCCCCCGUCACAGUCCAGCACUGCAGAUUCCCAGUACCCACUGCACUCAACAAGCAUCCCUUUGCAGUUUGGCCCUGCUGAAGUACAGUACCUGCUGCAUUGUAUUCUAAAGGAGAAGGUUGGAUAUGAUCCCUGGACAUACACAAAUCUUUAGCCAUUCUGGGACCCCACCUCUUCCUGGGACCUUUCCUUCCCCCACCCCCUCAGUGCUGAUGUGUUUUUUUGUUUGACUCUCUCUUCUGGUUGUUGUUUUUUAAUAAAAUAAUAGUGUUGGUUUGAAA